AUUGAACGCUGGCGGCAGGCCUAACACAUGCAAGUCGAGCGGGAACUUCGGUUCUAGCGGCGGACGGGUGAGUAAUGCGUAGGAAGCUACCCGACAGAGGGGGAUACCAGUUGGAAACGACUGUUAAUACCGCAUAAUGUCUACGGACCAAAGUGUGGGACCUUCGGGCCACAUGCUGUCGGAUGCGCCUACGUGGGAUUAGCUAGUUGGUGAGGUAAUGGCUCACCAAGGCGACGAUCCCUAGCUGGUUUGAGAGGAUGAUCAGCCACACUGGAACUGAGACACGGUCCAGACUCCUACGGGAGGCAGCAGUGGGGAAUAUUGGACAAUGGGCGAAAGCCUGAUCCAGCCAUGCCGCGUGUGUGAAGAAGGCCUUCGGGUCGUAAAGCACUUUCAGUAGGGAGGAAGAGGUGAGUGUUAAUAGUACUCAGCUUUGACGUUACCUACAGAAGAAGCACCGGCUAACUCUGUGCCAGCAGCCGCAGUAAUAC
rnacentral:rRNA from 1 species